AUGGUGUUCUUCGCGCUGCUCGUGGGGGCAGAGCUCGACGGCCUCACCAACCUGCAGCCCCGCGGCGGCUGCGACGACCCCAGCUACCCUUACUACUUCAAGCUGCGGUGCGAGAGCUGCGGGGAGACGAGCGCCAAGACCACCUGCGUCUCCCUCGACGAGGUCGUCCAACUGCCCACCGGCAAAGGCACCGCCAAUCUCCUCCAGAAGUGCAAGUUAUGUUCGAGGGAGGGAUCAGUUGUGAUGAUUCCUGGGCAGGGAACACCACUGACUGCUGAGCAGAGCCAGAAAGGAGAGAUGACUUGUUUGAUGGUCUUUGAAUGCAGAGGCUAUGAACCUAUUGAGUUCGCUUUUGGUAAUGGCUGGAAGGCUGAAUCUGUACAUGGGACACCAUUUGACAUUGAUCUUUCCGAAGGAGAGUUUGAUGAGUAUGAUGAGAAGGGAGAGUGCCCUGUUGCUCUAUCCAAGCUGCAGUCAACAUUCAAAGUGGUGAAGAAGCAGGGUUUUCAUGGGAAGACCAGAUAUGUCUAA
rnacentral:rRNA from 1 species